UACGUAGGGGGCAAGCGUUGUCCGGAAUCAUUGGGCGUAAAGAGCGUGUAGGCGGCUCGGUAAGUCCGCUGUGAAAGUCCAGGGCUCAACCCUGGAAUGCCGGUGGAAACUGUCGAGCUAGAGUCCGGAAGAGGCGAGUGGAAUUCCACGUGUAGCGGUGAAAUGCGUAGAGAUGUGGAGGAACACCAGUGGCGAAGGCGACUCUUUGGUCUGUAACUGACGCUGAGGCGCGAAAGCGUGGGGAGCAAACAG
rnacentral:rRNA from 1 species